UACAGAGACCCCAAGCGUUAUCCGGAAUUAUUGGGCGUAAAGGGUGCGUAGGUGGUUUUGUUAGUCCUGUGUUAAAGUCCGAGGCUCAACCUCGGGUUCACAUAGGAAACGGCAUAACUAGAGAGUGGGAGAGGUGUGCGGAACCCAUAGUGUAGGGGUGAAAUCCGUUGAUAUUAUGGGGAACACCAAAGGCGAAGGCAGCACACUGGCCCAUUUCUGACACUGAUGCACGAAACCCUGGGUAGCGAAAGGG
rnacentral:misc_RNA from 1 species